GAUUCCCCUAGUAACUGCGAGUGAAGAGGGAAGAGCUCAAAUUUUAAAUCUGGCAGUCUUUGGCUGUCCGAGUUGUAAAUUGGAGAAGUGUCAUCUGUGCUGGCCUGUGUAAAAGUCUCUUGGAAAAGAGCAUCAUAGAGGGUGACAAUCCCGUCUUUGGCACAGACUCCCAGUGCUUUGUGAUGCGCUCUCAAUGAGUCGAGUUGUUUGGGAAUGCAGCUCCAAAUGGGUGGUAAAUUCCAUCUAAAGCUAAAUAUUGGCGAGAGACCGAUAGCGCACAAGUACCGUGAGGGAAAGAUGAAAAGAACUUUGAAAAGAGAGUUAAACAGUAUGUGAAAUUGUUGAAAGGGAAACGCUUGAAGUCAGUCAUCUUGGAGAAAUCAACUUGAUCUUGGUCAAGUGCACUUUCUCCAAAAGAGUCAGCAUCAAUUUUGACCGUUGGAAAAAGGCCUUGGGAAUGUGGCAUCUUCGGAUGUGUUAUAGACCAGGGUUAUAUACAAUGGUUGGGAUUGAGGACAGCAGUGUAUCCACACUUAAGGAUGCUGGCAUAAU
rnacentral:rRNA from 1 species